CAGUUGGCAUAGUGAUGGUGUUCCCUGAGGAGAGAAAGUGCAGAGCGGUGUUGCUGACAGCCAGGUCUCUCCAUCUCCCAGCCAUCCUGGGAAGCUCUGUAUUUGCCAAGUCACAAUGCUGCAACCGUUCCCACCCCGCAGCUCAUCCCUCGAGCUCUAAGUGAGCCUGAGCCUGAACUCCAGGAUCCUGGGUUAGCUGAUGCCUGCUGGACAUCACUUCCUCAAUUUUCAGCAUAUCCUGCUUUGUCUCUGAUUGCUGCUCUGGCAAACCUGAUCUUGUCCAAAUGUUAACUGUUGCUUCUCUGGUUUGCUACUUUCACAGUUUCUCUUGCUGCUUAACUAAUCUCUAGUCCCGUUUUCCUCAAAUCAGACUUUAACAGGGAGGAGCUGGCUUGUUCCAGUCCAAGGACUGAGGUGUGUUACUGUACUUCACUGGGGUGGUAAAGAGUUGCAGUGUGCUAAAAGCUUGUAUGUGUGCAGUUUUCCCCUAUCCAGGCUCUUGUAAAUACAGUACAAUUGCCAAGGACAGGCAGGAAGUGAAGGAAGAUCCCAUGCGUGAUUAAAACUGCAACGGGGGGGUGUAAUUUAUAGAAACAGGAUGGACUUUGGCCAGGAGACUGCAACAUCCCUCACUGUAACGAGCCUACAUAUUACAAUGAGUGCACUUAGAAAGACAGAUGGACAGAUGUUCAAUGGGGCUAAUUCUCAUCAUCACUAGCCAGUGGACUCUGAGAGAAAAUACCAGUUCUGCAGCAUUCCCUUGGGUCUCAAAAAUUACAUGAUGCCCCUAGUAUAAAUAAAGAUCCCUCAUCUAUCUUCCACUCUGAUUCACAGGGCCAGCAUAACUGGCUAGUGCUCGUGUCCCCUAGGAUCACACUGACAUCAAGGACUCGACCUCAAUGUAUCUAUUAACUUUUUUUUCUUCUUUGCUUGCUGUUUCCAGAAUCAACCCACAAUCUCCAGUAUCAACAUGCAGCACAGACAAGGUUGGAGGCAAGAAUUUCUUACCAGGUGCAGAACUGCAAAGUUUUGGAGUAAGGCAUAAUGAAGGGAGAUGACACCUUGGUGCACUCUCCUCCUUUGCCAAUGUUCAGUCCCUGCACCCCAUGGAAGAGUACAAGCCUCAGUGGAUGUGAUCCCCACCAAAUCUCAAUGCUGAUUAGAGCAGAUAUAAAUAACGAGUGUGAGAAACAGCUCGACCUGUCUGAUGAUGUCAUCAUGUGACACUGCCUGUACUUCAUUCCUCAUCCUGGGAAGGCACCCCUGAACUUUGUGGCUUCAUAUGAAGUUUGCAAGAUCAACUGAAACACAGGACCUGGGUACCUCAUCAGACAUUCAUCUGCUGAGAUCUGUGCAGCACACUAUGGCAGGCACUGGCUUGGGUGGCCUGGAAGAUCUAACCAAGAAGUCCAAGUCCCAUCAAUGCCACAUGAGCAAAAGUUUGCUCUGUGGCCACUCUGACAUUAUCAAGACACUGCAAAUGCAUUUUAACUGUGGAUUUUGUUAGGUUUUUCUCAUAGUUAGGAAUUGGUGGCAAUUGCUCUCAGGUAUCCAUCCAAAUGUCUAUGAAUGAUUUGCUGUGGUUUGGUUCCCCUUGGCUGUGGUUACUGUGUCAGCAGGGAAAAGGAGCAGGCAUGGAUGGGCCCUUGGAUAACAUUAGAUAAGGCACAGAGUGAUCUUUGCUGCUCUACCGACCCAAAGGUGCAGAGAAAAAAAAACGUGGGCAGGGUGAGUGGGGACGGAGCUGGGCACAGGACAUGGAGAGAAAGCAAAGAAGUGUUACCUGCUGCAUCCUGCACUAAGGGAACGUCACUUUUUACUGGAGUUGGAGUGGCAAUGAUGGGCGAAAACCCAGCGGUGCUGGCGGCAGGCAUGACAAUGCCUCUGCUGGCUCCCAGAGUGGCACUGAGCAAGGAGUAUGAGAGACAAGAUGGAGAGAAGA